rnacentral:rRNA from 1 species
CACUCCUGCGGGAGGCAGCAGUGGGGAAUAUUGGACAAUGGGCGCAAGCCUGAUCCAGCCAUGCCGCGUGAGUGAUGAAGGCCCUAGGGUUGUAAAGCUCUUUCACCGGAGAAGAUAAUGACGGUAUCCGGAGAAGAAGCCCCGGCUAACUUCGUGCCAGCAGCCGCGGUAAUACGAAGGGGGCUAGCGUUGUUCGGAAUUACUGGGCGUAAAGCGCACGUAGGCGGAUCGAUCAGUCAGGGGUGAAAUCCCAGGGCUCAACCCUGGAACUGCCUUUGAUACUGUCGAUCUGGAGUAUGGAAGAGGUGAGUGGAAUUCCGAGUGUAGAGGUGAAAUUCGUAGAUAUUCGGAGGAACACCAGUGGCGAAGGCGGCUCACUGGUCCAUUACUGACGCUGAGGUGCGAAAGCGUGGGGAGCAAACAGGAUUAGAAACCCUUGUAGUCCCAUGA